GGAUUGUGGCUCAGUGGUAGAGCACUUGCCUAGCAUGUGUGAGGCCCUGAGUUCUACCCUUAGCACCA
rnacentral:tRNA from 1 species